AUUGAAAAAAGAGGGGUUAGUGUUGGGUUGAGCUUACAAAGGAUGAGAAUAGAGAAUUGCAAGUA